UUGGGUAUUUUGAAGGUCAAUAUGGCAUAUUUUGAGGAUUUGUUAGGGACGUCUCAAGCUUCAAAAAGAGAUAUUUUGGGACCAAAUUAGAGUUGAUUUGGUCGGUUAAAAGUUUGAUUUUCUGAGAAGUCCGAAUUUCAGUUUAAAUAGGAAACCUUUUAUUUCCUAGUUAUCUUAUUCUAUUAUGUUUCCUAGUUUUUUGAAGACCUUUUCUAAGUAGAAUUUUAUUUUGUAAUAGUAUAAAUAAGGCUAUUUAGCCAUUAGGAGGGGGAUGAAUUUGGAGAGACGCAUUAACUUACGAGCUUUUGCCAAUUCAAGUUUAUUUUCAAGGUGUUUUUUAUUUAUGUUCUUAAUAAUAUUUUGUUUUAUAAUUAUUCGUAACUAGUUUCGUUUGCUAGGACGAGGUCACGAGCCUUAGCAACAAUAUGUAGUUUCUUUUCAAUUUACUUAUGAUGUUAUGCAUGCAGGUUUUGAAUUAUUAAUCAAUGUGUUUAUAUUAUCUAAUUGUCUUGAUGAUUGACCACCAUUUGGAUAUUUAGAAAAGUAAUAGGUAGGUGUUUAGCAUGUAAAUAGGUAGGUGUUUCCAAAGCCUAAAGUCGCAAGGAUUUCCAGUUCCAGUUGAACUCGGAGUUUGCUGUCUACCCAUCAUGACCGCACUCUAUACGGUCUCGCUGUUUGGCAGCUAGUAUAACAUUGACAAGACACUGGAUAGUAUUAGUAUUACGCAUUCAAUUUUGUAAAUUAGCAACAGGAUUAAAUUAGGGUUGGGUAAAUUGGCCACUGGAUUAGAUUAGGGUCGGCCCACGGGUUGGAUUGGGUCGGUUUUGGGCCAAAACUGAAACCAAACCAACCUAAUUGGUUGGGCCAAAUUUUUUUUGUCAAUUGGUACGUGACCGGGAACACGAUAUCUUUUAUGUAGUACGUCCAAUAUACCAAACCGGUGUCAUAAAUAUGGUACUUGGUCAGGGAGGUGCACUUAAGCAACAAAUAAUGAAACUUGUAGAAGCAUAUCAUGUAACAAGACAAACACCAAGUAACUAAAGUAACAUUUGUAAACUUCUCCUAAUUGAUAUCAACUCAUAACUGAGGUUUUAUGCUUAUUUCUCGUCGAGCACGGUUCAAUGAAUCCGUGACAACUUUCGGAAUAUUUUUUUAUUUUAUUUUUUAUGAUUUUAACGUAUUUUGGAACUUGUAUAGUAUUUUAUUCAGUACGUGCCAUGUGGCACCUUUGAGUCAUUUAAUACAAUUUUUCUUGAGUUUUUUCCCAUAAAAAACGAUGAACACCUAGCAAUGAGUCUAUAGCAACUUUAGGAAUAUUUAUUCUAUUCUAUUUUUCUAUUUUAUAUGAAUUUCUCAAAUUAUAUAUAUAUUUAGAGUGGUCAUAUUCAAGGUAUAAAACAUCAAUGAUAUCGGAAAUAUCGGUAGUCCAAAAACACGGAAAUUUCGAUGGAAAUAUUGGGAUAUUAUCGAUAUCGAUAAAAAUUGAAUAAAAACCACGGAAAUUGUAAGAAAAACUUGGAAAUUUUUAUUAAAAAUUUGCAGAAUGUUUAUUUAGUCAAUUAUCUAUUAGUUUAUCACAAAAAAUUGGAAGGAAACGCAUUGCAUGAUAAAUAUAACUGAUUUAAGUUAAUUAUAUAGCGACCUGGCAAACAUUGUGAGUGUAGAAAAUAUGUAGUAAUUAAUGAAAGAAGUUUAAACACACCAUAAUCAUUUAUAUAUAAUGAAUUAGUACAAUAUUUUACACUUUAUACAUUGCAUGGUAAUAUACAUGAGUGACUUAGCAAUGUCUAAAAUAUCGAUGAUAUCGGAAAUAUCGGUAGUCCAAAAACACGGAAAUUUCGAUGGAAAUAUCGGGAUAUUAUAAAUAUUUUAGACCAUGGUCAUAUUAUGUCACAUCCCAGUCUCGACUCUGCCGUAGCACGAUAUUGUCCGAUUUGAGCCCCGACCACGCCCUCACAAUUUUGUUUCUGAGAACUCACACGAGAACUUCCUAGUGGGUCACCCAUCCUGGGAUUGUUCUCGCCCGAACUCGCUUAACUUCAGAGUUCUGAUGGAAUCUGAAACCAGUGAGUUCCCAAAAGACCUCGUGCUAUAUGAAGGUGGGCAUGUACAUAUAAGACACAUCACCCCCUCUCCGUUGGUCGAUGUGGGAUGUUACAAUCCACCCCCCCUUAGGGGCCUGACGUCUUCGUCGGCACACUCGCACCACACGGCAUAGUGGCUCUGACACCAUUAUAUCACAUCCCAGUCUCGACUCCGCCGUAGCACGAUAUUGUCCGCUUUGGGCCCCGGUCAUGCCAUCACGGUUUUGUUUCUAGGAACUCACACGAGAACUUCCUAAUGGGUUACCCAUCUUGGGAUUGCUCUCGCCCGAACUCGCUUAAUUUCGGAGUUCUGAUGGAAUUUGAAGCCAGUGAGUUCCCAAAAGGUCUCGUGCUAUAUGGAGGUGGGCAUGUACAUAUAAGGCACAUCACCCUCUCUCCGUUGGUCGAUGUGGGAUGUUACAUAUUCCCACACCGGUGUCUUAUUUCCCCACCCACCAUUUAAUGAAAAUGUUAAUAACAUAUUUAUCAUUUUAAAACAAGAUUCUUAAACCCCUAUUUAAUUCAAUACUAAAAUUUUGAAAAAAAAAAACAAAAAAUAAUUUAAAAUAAUAAAUAAAUAAUGGUGGGUGGGGUGUGAUAUCUUUGGUGGAAAGAGGUUGGGAAAGAUGUGGGUUAGAAUCGACGGAAAUAUUGGAGGAAGAAAUGAGCGUGUGCUAGAUGAAGGCAAGAAACUUCAAUGGAGAAAAAAGAGAAUUGGGUGUGAGAUCUGCGGUUUUGACAAAAAAUGAGGAAGAAGAGUGGUUUGGGGAUCUGGGGUCUCUGCAGGGCGGUGUUAGGUGUGAAGGAGAUGAAAAAUGUCUAGGUUUUAGGUCUUGCAUUUUCUUUCAUUUUUUUUCUAUUUUUAUUUAUUUAUUUAUUUAUAAUAUUAUUUAAAGAUAUAUUAGAGUUAUUUAACAAAAUAUAUUAUGGUUAUUUUGAGAAUAAUGGUGGAUGGGGAAAUAACAUUUUACUUUUUUAAUUUUCUAUGAUGGGUGGGAUUAUCAUGUGGAUGGGAAAAUAAGACACUGGGGUGUGUCUAGUAGCACUCUAUUUUUAUUCUUCACCACCACGUGGUAAUUUCUUGGCCAUCACUAGGGUUUAUUUGAUAACAUGUCACAAGUGAUCAUUCAAAGCAAGAGUAUCAUAAAGUAUCACAAGACUUGCAUCUUUGUCAACCAUACAUAGACUAACAUAUACAGUUCUUAGGGGGCGUUUGUUGUACCGGACUGUCUCAGACUAGACUAGCUUUAGGGACUAAGCUGGACUGGCUUAGACUAGACUAAGCUGGACUAACUUAGUGAAAUAUUUGGUGCAGUGUCGGACUAAAAAGCAAACUAAUUAAUAAAUUAUAAUAUUAUAUUUAUAUCUAUCAAUAUUUUAUGUAUCUAUUAAUAUUUUAUCUAUUUUAUUUUUAAUUUAUUUUUUUCUUUUUGGAUUCUCUUCCUAUUUUCUGGAAACAUCCACCAUUUUUCCACCAUUCUCCCUCGUUUUCUCCGGCACACUGUCUCCCUCUCAUCCCUUUUUUUUCUCCCAUUUUUCUCCCUGUUUUCUUCUUCAAUGGAGGAAGCUGUGCAUUUUGCACCUAAUUUGGAUCAAAGACCAACAAGUCUUUCUUCUUGUUCCUCUAACCAGAGAUAGCUCUCUUUUUCACAAAAAUCCCAAAUCAAGGUAAUAGAUUUCUGGGUUUCUGGAGAAGAGCAUUGUGGAUUUCUAGAGGUCUUUCGUUUUUUGCCUACAGAUUUAUGGAGAAGUGCACAGCAACCCAAGGUAAUAGAUUUCUAGGUUUAUUGCAGAUUUUGAUAUUUUCUAUAUUUGGGAUUUAUAAGGUUUAAUCUUCGAAUUGAAGUGUUGUGUAUGGUGUGGAUUAAGCUUAUUGGAAGCUUAACUGAAUGAAUUCAUCUCUGAAGCAAGAUGGGGUUGGGUUCUCAGGACGGAAUGGGCAGAGCCGUUUCAGAUUUGAUGACUGGAGAAGAGGGCGGAAGGCAUGAUUUGGUAACUGGGUUCGCGGGAAGAAGAAGAUCCGGGAUGCAUGCUUGCAGACGACGUGGGCGCUAGAGACGAGAUUAGCAAUCCGCCAAUUUUCGGGGGGACCAGCUAAGAACAGCUAGUGAAGCUUUUAGUCGGUGCGAGUCCGACUUAGUCUCAUUAAAGGUAGUCUUUGUUUGCGCCAAACACGGGCUAGGACUCCUACCUAAGGCAGUCCAGUCCAGUGAGACUUAAAGAGGCCAAACAAACGUGCCCUUAAAUCUUUAAUAAAUUUCUUCUUCAUAAAAAAAAUAAAAAUAUAUACAGUUAUUAAAGGGAAAUUUUAUUUGAACUCAUGUAAUCUCUACACCCAACUUACUAUCUACACCCAUAUUAAUUUUUAUUAAAGAAUUAAUAUCUCUUUAUACCUAAGGUUAUUACCUAAACUAUCCUCCCAAACCCAGUUCAAAAUGUAAAAUUAUCUUUACACCCAUUUAUAGCAUUUCCCAUGACUGCAAAUGCAAGCUCCUUCAUGUUUCCAUGGUCGCCAUCCCCGACACAUGCACAUACACAUGGUCUCUCUAUCAUCACCAACACCAAGUAGUUACAGUAGUUGUGCAUCAAAUUCAAGCUGUUAAGUGUUUAAUGCUUCAGGGAUGUUCAGUCCACGGACGGAGUUUUCAAGAAAUGGAUGUAAUGGCGUGAAGAACAAGCAAGCAAGACCGAGAUAGCGGUCAAGAGGUCCAACAGUACCAAUGGUUGUUGGAGCAGUAAUGAUGAAGCUCAAGUGGGUGUUUCAGUUGGGGGAUGGAGCGGUUUUAUCUCGAAAUGGACUUGGGUACUUCCGGUGCGAGGUUUGCGCUGAUCGACAUGCAAAGGUCUAUUCAUGCUGAAUGAAAGAGAGAGUACCCUUUGUUUUGUUUUUUUUGUUUUUCUUGUUUUUUUUUUUUUGUUUUUUUUUUUUUUUUUGCUUUGAAAAGUUCCACAAACACCAACUUUUGAAUUAUGUGUUAUACGAUGCUUGAAGAAAUCUCACCUCAGCAGCCUCAAAGUGCACUGAAAGCUUGCAGUUGGAAACUAACAUUUUUUUUUUCACCUUGUCUGGUUGCAACUCCUUAUCAACAACUAAUGUUGCAUAGACGAUAGAAGCAAUUUCCUAGGACUAAAAAAAGCUUGUUUUUCUAUAUAAAAGUUAUAGUGUUUUAGUCGAAAUGAACGUAAAAUAAGCAAGGAGUCAUGGUGGGGUUUAAUUAUAGUGUGUGAGUUUAUUGAUAAAAUUUACAUCUAAAAUUUAAGUUGAGCGUAAAAAAAUGUUAUAUGAGUUUAAAUAAAAUUUUCCGUUAUUAAAUCUUUCCAGCUAUCAUCCGAGAAAUCUUAAAUAGUGUGAAAGUCAUGCAACAUGUCUAAAACCAUCCUAGAUCCUACCCAUUCUAAAUCACACGAGUUUUCAUCACAUCAUGGAACUUAGGUGAUGAAUGAAGGUCAGUAGAACGUUGGAAUUUGGCAUCAUCAUGAAAUUCAGGAGGUGCCGAUUUUUUAAUUAAUUUAGACAUAUGGGCGGAUUUUGAAUUUGAGAUUUUGUCGGGGUAGUCGUCGUCUUUUUGAAGAAGGAAGGGGAGAAAGAGGGAGAAAAAACGAGGAUGGGGUGAGUUUGUUUGAAGAAGCCGUUUAGAUAAAAAAUCACCGGCUUAAAAUAAUCAGCAACUAAGGUCUCACAUUAAAAAAUCAAUAAUAGCAUUAAGUUUCAUUGGGAUUAGACCUGAUAAUUUUCUACACGACUUGUUAACAUGACACGAAAAUAACGGGUUUCGAGUCAACACAAUAACUAAUCGAGUCAUUAUCGGGUCACCUGUCAAUAACCCAUUAAUAACGGGUUUACACACAAGAUAACCUUGGGUAAUCCGUUUCAAUCCGUUAAAAACAAUUAUUUUGAUAAUUUUAAAGUUAAACUAAUAAAAAAAGUUAUAAAAUACAAUGGUCAUAGUGUAGAUAUUUUAUAUUAAAUAUGUAUUAUUUAUUAUUCUAAAUAACUUUUAAAAAUUAAGUUUUAUUUAUUUAUUUUUAUUAUGAUUGUUCCUUAUUAUCAUAUUACUAUGAUACAUUUUACUUGAUAUGUUGUCUAAAUUAAAAAUUUUGUCACAAAAUACUGUCUAAAAAAUAUCAACACGACAAGUCAUCUUGUGAAAAUUCAAGACCAACCACGGGCAUAUACCUACUAAACCCUAUUUAAACUACCCUCGAUAUCAAUUAAAACUUUUUAAGUCUUUGAGUAAGAGAGAUUAUAUUCACAUAAUUCUUCCACACUCUUUUAAUUUUUAAUAUUUUUCUAUCAAGUGUUAGUGGUGUGUCCAAAAAGAUUAAAAAAAUCAAAAGGUGUGGGGGAAGUAAUUUAGUAUGUGUGAAUAUAAUCUCAAUUUUAAAGGGAACAGGAACUUCCCACUUCACCAAAUUGUUGUAUGAAUGAAGCAAACAGAUUAAAAAAAAAACAAUUAUAUUACUGGAUAGAAAAUCAAAAUUGGAGCUUUAUGUUAUGGAUUUGGAUCCCAUAUGGAUCACAUUCUACCUCUUCAUCGACAUCGUAUAUUGUGUGAACAUCAAUCAUUUUGAAUUCUUUUUAUUUAAAAUUAAAUACAAACAAUACCAAAUGAAAGUUGAUUGCAUGAUAAGCGAUGAACGGAUAAAAUGUGAAUAUUCCUAUGAUCCUCACAAAAAGAAUCCGAAAAUGGUCCUCAUCCUUAUUAUAUGGGUUCUAUUUGCUUAUCAGAGAGUUGCAUAACAACACAAGACCAAUUAACACAACAAAGCAAAAGAAAGGUUUAUUUGGGAGAAUUGGAUACACAUCGGGAAGAUUGAAACCAAAUGAACAAAAAUACAUAAAUCGAAUUUAUUGCCGAAAAAUACCGGAAGAUUGAAAGGUGGCGGUGUUACCAAUCUAGUGGUGAUGGUGGUGGUUUAGGACAACAACCAAAUGCCAGGAGGUGAUGGUGGUGGUCUUCGUGAAGGUUCAGGACACAUGGAUGCGCUUUGUUGCAAGAGGUUGGAUAGGAGGCGAAGGUGGUGGUGGUGGUGGUGGUGUGGUGUGGUGGUGGUGGUGGUGGUGGUGGUGGUGGUGGUGGUGGUGGUGGUUGUGGAGAAUGAUUUGGAUUUCGAAUUGGAAUUGGCACUAGAGUAGGUGGUCGCGAUUGGGUUUUCGAGAAUUCAAUUAAUUUUUGGAUGUUGGAGCAGAUUAGUAAUUUGGGUUGGAUUAACCUGAAUUCGUUCAUCCCCAACUCGAUUUCAAAUACAAUCGGGCGGGUUAGAAUAAGAAAAAAAUCCGCCCAAACCCAACCCAACCCAACCUCAACCUCAACCCGAUCAUUUUGAGUUGGGUUUGGUUGAUGUUUCGCCCGCCCAUAUCAACCCAAACCCAACCUGAUUUUGAGCUCGAAUUUGCUCAUGCACUUGGUACCCUUCCCACUUCAUAAUGUAUAAGCUAUAUAUAAGUUUUGGAAUGGCUAAACUUGAAGUUUAUUGUCGGUUUUCAUAUGGAUAAUGAAUGACAAAGUUACUUCUACAUUUUUCUUUUGCUUGAACAUGUUUCCCCCUCGCCCACAAAAAAAAAAAAAAAAAAAAAAAAAGCUUUACUAUGAUUAGGGGAGAGGAGAGGGGGGGGGAGAAUUCGAACUAAUUACAAUAAUUUAGGGUGAAGGGGAAGAAUUUCGAACCCGGAAUGUGUAAAUGAAAAUUUACCUAAUAUUAACGUUGUUCUGUUCAAAAUUUAAAAAUUGUGCGAAAUAAGGUGUUAUAAGGUUGAACUUGAUAAAAUUGGGCGAAUCUGAACCCGACCCGUAUAAACCCAAACCCAAUUAAAACCCGUACCCGACUAAAUCAGGAUGAACUCAAACCCAACCGAAGCCCAAAGUGAAAGUUGUUGGACUGAAAUUGAUUUAACCAUCCAACCCGCCCAACCAACCCGAGUUGCAACCCUACUAACACCUCCUUUGCUAGUUCCAGAUCAUAUGCAUCAAACAAGCCCCCAAAAGGGUACCCAGGGGCCCAUGUAAUUGGUGGUUCCAUUGGCAUGCUAAAUAUCUAGGCUCAAAAUAUAAGUAGCCCGGCCCACAAUUGAGGCCGACAAAAGCAAAGCAGCAAAGUCAAAGUAGUACAACUACUUAACCCUAAUUUCUCUCCUCUCUCUUUGAUAGCCGCCGCACUCCUCCCCUGCCUUAUUCACUACCAGUUCUUCCUCACUUAUUCACAGGCCCGGCCCAAGCACGCAAUGCCACUGCUACAAUCUGUAAAACUCCAACGCGCAAGACGAAAUUUAAAACACAUUCACAACAAGCCCACUUCAAUUAUUACAAUUUACAUUUUACAGUUGGUUAUUGGUUGUCAACAUCAUAUGACACUUAAGAUUGUAUGAAUAGCAUUACUCUUUAGAAUUUACUUAUUACAAUUUGAGGCACUGUACCUCACACACUUACUGCCUGCUCAGCUCCUCCUCCUCCUCCUCAGGAAAAACUCCAACUUGGUAUGGCUUUUUACUUAAUUUUUUUGCACUUAUAUUGAUAAUUUUAAUCUUUUUGGGAAUGGGUAUUCUAAUUUGUUGAAAUUUGUAUGGUAAUUUGUUCACGUUUGGUCUCUGGAAGAGGGACAGGGACGAGAUAGUAGAGAUAGAGCUAGUGAAUGGAUUGUUUAUCUUGUUUUAACGUUGAAAAUUUGUAUAAUAUUAGACAAUAUUAGGUUAUGGGUUUAGGGUUUAGACAGGAGUUGCAGCAAUCUCUUGCUCAAUGAACCAAAUUACAACAAUAGACAGGAGUGCAUACUUUUUUCAUAAAGCUAGGCCAAAUUAGUUAGGAAAUCACAAAAAUUAUUGAGAGCAGGUGAGUUGUGUUUGAGGGAAGAGUCACUCCCUGGGUUGUUGUGGAUUGCCUUUCUAUCCUUACUGGAUGAGAUUUGGAUAUCUAGUAUUGGUUUUUUCCUUUGUAAGCUUGAGCUGGAUUCCCAUAACAACCAAGAAAGCUGCCAACAUUAGUGAGCCAUUAUGGCCUAGUUAAUAUGGCAGUCCUCUUGUCUGGAGUCCCCUUUCUUCCUGGUUGGAUUCCACUAUUCUACUCUUGUACUUGCUUUUCCCCAAUUUUGUUGUGAUUUCAAAUGCUUAUAAAGAUCCAUUGUUCUGUUUGCUUUUCGAUAUUAACUGUUGCAAGCAAGAGUUGAUUUGUCUGUGCUGCGAAUACGAUGCAAGACUCAAUUGUUAUUCUUAUCGCCAUGCGGUUUUAUUUUAUUUUAUUGUUUUUAGUGCUGAAGAAGUCGCACUUGGUGCGAUGGUAAAUGUCUUCGCCCAUGAGCGGUAGGUCUCGGGUUCGAGACUUGGGAGCAGCCUCUCCAUAAAUGGGGGUAAGGCUAGCUGACAUUUACCUCUCCCAGACCCUGCGUAAAGCGGAAGCCUUGUGCACUGGGUACGACCUUUUUAUUGUUUUUAGUGCUGGAUUUGAAGCAAUGUCAGUUUUUCAGUGCAUAAUCAAGUUUCAGCCUGUAAAUGUUAUAGGUGGAGGAGCUAUGCAUCGCCAAAGUCGAGCCAUAUUUGGAGGUGGUGGUGAAGGGAUAGGGGGAAGAGAGGGGAGAGAGGUAGGUGCAGUAGGUGGCAGAAGUUGGGCGUGGAAGUUGUUUAGUUGGCCAGUCUUGUCCAUCGCAAUAUACAUAUUUUUCUUUUUCUUGAGUGUAGACUUUGUUGAUUUGAAUGAACGCCUUCCGAGUGAACACCCUACUAAGAAAUCAGUUAAGGCACUAUUCCUCAUGUCCGAAACAUUGACCGGUGUGGGGUACGGUGACAUUGUCCCCAACACUGAGCGGGCCAAGUUGUUAAUAUCCUUUUUUAUUUUCUUCGUCCGUUGGAUUUGGUGCAAAUCAGGAGGAGUUUUUUUGGUGUCUAUUUGUGAAGGUUUUCUCAAACGAUUUGGUUUUGUGGUGUGAGUGAGGACAUUUUCAGGGUAGUGAUGGCAAUAGCGGCACCUGCUGUGUGUGUGGGAGUAGGCUGUGUUGGGUUUCACUUGUUGGAGAAGCUGAGUUGGGAGGAUGCUUUGUAUUUGUCAGUUGUUUCUGCGACCACUGUUGGCUACGGUGAAAUUCCGGUAAAGACAGCAAGCACUAAGGUUUUUGCAAGCAUUUGGAUGUGUUUUUCCACAAUUAUCUUUAUCAAAUGUCAGACAUACCUAGUUGUUAGAAUUAUGAGAGCGUUUGGAAGAAAUUAAGGCUUUGACAUCCGUAGACUCUGACUCUUCUUCUGGGUGCUAGUGUUUUGUUAGGGAAGCAGUUUGUGUAGAUGGAAUCAGUCUAGUGCUUUCGAGUCGUUAUGUGUUAUGUUAUAUCGAGUUCUUCUCAUGUAAAGAAAUUCCAAAUCGCAUAUAGUUUUCAUUAUGGUUUGAGUAUUGUUUACUUCUUUUAGAAUAACUUGUUUUUAUUACAAAAUGUUGAAACCAAAUUUGCGAAAAUCAUAGUCCCACUGUGGGACCUCCACAUGAAAGAACUCGGUAAAAAGCCUUUACUCGAGGGAAAGUAAAACCACAUUGGAAAUAAAACAACGAGCAAGGAAAAUGACGCUUCCACACGCCCAGUAAAAACAUCCCAGUAAACAAACAAAUCCCCCUCCAUGCCAUGAACGCGUUGCAACACACCAAAUGGAAAUGUAAUUUUUAAUUCCAUCUUUUAUAUUUACUUUUUUAAAUACUGUAAAAUCAAAUAUUAAUUGAAUAGCAGGUCUUAUGGAAAACUUUAAAAAUCUUGAAUGAAUACAAUCGGAUUUUUAGACCAUCUCCAAAGGCUAAGUGGAAUGUCGCAUAAUCAAAUUUGAAUGUAGGAAAAAACUCUAACUGAUAUGUCAAUAUGAACCUCUUGUUGUCAAAUUUGACAUGUGAAAAAAAAUUGAUGUCAAUUAGUUUUCUUAUUAUUUUAUUGUGUGUGUUCUAUUAAUACACCAAUUACAAAUUUUAAAAUUUUUUUAAUUGAUUUUUUUUUAAAUGAAUCCUACAAAUAUCAAUUAUAACAAAAAAAAAUUUAGAGAAAGAAAAAAUAUGACAUUGUGUAGAAAAAUAAUUCAAGCUCAAGCACAAAAAAUCGAACAUACAACUCUGAUCAACUGGCCUAAUUCACAUCAGUCAAAAGCCUAUUUGUUUGGAUGAGAGCAAAUUUGAGUGGGUCUAGAGAUUGGGGUGCAAAGUCCACACUUCUCUAGCUCUUACAAAUUGGGUCAGUCCACUCAGCAACCCCUCUCUCUCUCUCUCUCUCUCUCUCCCCCUCUCUCAGACGAAAAUUCAAAUUCUAGCCCUUGCCAUGAGAGAUUAUUGGGACUUCCUACUUUUUUGUUCAAUCAAGGACCAUGUUUGGAACAAAGUUUACAAAGGGGAAGGCAAAUUGAUUUCUCAGGGCGGAAGAUAAGUGUUGACUGAAGCAACGUGGCAAGCUAUACCCUAUUAUACAAUGCUUUCAGUUACUACUUUUCAAGUAGAGAAACUUGAAGAAACUUAUGCACGUAAAGAAGUGGGUACUUCACUACUUCAACUGCAAUGUUAGAGGUCACUCGUAUGGAUGCUUUAUCUAUCAGUUUGAUAGGAUUAGCAAUUUAGCUGCAAAAACAUAAACAAUGUCUAAAAUGCACCUACCAAUAGUUAUAUAUAUAUAUAUAUAUAGAUUACAAUAUAAUACGCAGGUAAAUACAGCAGCUAGUAGAAAUUAGAAUCAUCAAUCUCAAUCAGGUCAGCAAUAACACCUAUGACCUCGAUAAAAACCUCGGCAUGCCCUUGACUGCCCCGCCGUCCCAUUCGGUGGGAAAAGAUCGCAAGAGAAGCGCGUCAGUUGGGAAGCAUCCAAUCCAAACAACGUAGUAUUAUACCUAAAAAAACCCAACAGCUUCAGCCACAGGCUCCCCGACCCAUAACAACUUGGGGAGGUGGAGGAAGAGGAGGAGGAGAUGAUUAUAUCGUUGGCCGUGUCGGUUCCGACGUACGACCUCGCCAUUACCACCGAGAAAUCAAGAGUAGUCUGGUUCAUCUUACUUACAUAGAUGGGAGGCAACGGCGCCGUUCCCAGCUUGAGAUUGCUGUCGCUUUCCUUGUCGUCGACGUCGCCGUAGAAGAUAUCGGCUUGAAGGUUCUCGUAAUAAAAGUCCAGCUUCCGGUUGGGAUUUAUAGCAACCAGCGUCAAGUCCCACGUGGCGGUUAAGUAGUCGCUGCUGGAUGUGGCGGUGAGUGGGCACGGCGACACGGCUACCAAGUCGACCCGGAACUCAGGGAAUUCAGGGCUGAGCUUCGCGUCACGCAAUAAAGUCCACGCCAAGGCUGUGGCGAGAAUGAUUGCCAAUAGCGCCACGAAGCAGAAGAAAACAAUUUUACAAAGCCGUCCGGCGGAGGAAGACUUUGCCAUUCCCAUUCGAUCAGUUAAUUCACUAUCCUAUAGCCUUAUUCUGCAGAAACGAUCAGACCAACCGAAGGAGAGAGAGAGGGAGAGAGAGAGAGAGAGAUGGGGAUGGGAUUAAAGCAGAGGGUGUUGAGCAUGUAAAUAGGUAGGUGUUUCCAAAGCCUAAAGUCGCAAGGGUUUCCAGUUCCAGUUGAACUCGGAGUUUACUGUUUACCCAACAUGACCACUCUAUUUUUAUAAACCUGUUUUGGACCAAUUUUAAAUAAUCUAGUCCUACCAAUUUUAAUACGCUUUAUACCCGUUUAUUUAUUCAUUCUAAAACGUUAAUAUAAUUAGUCAGGUUGCUCUCUCUGUCCUCUUGCGAUUCUAGCUAGGUAUCGUUCGCAAAUCUACUUUUCAUUGAUAUCGCACAAUCGUCUCAACUCGUGUAUUUAUCGAAUGUAACAAAAUAUUAACCCUUAAUUUUAGAAAUAUUUGUUUUUAUAAAAAAUUUCAAAUAUAUUCAAAAUCUUACUUAAAUAGACACUGAUGAAUCCAUAUUAUACCAUAUAUUUUACCCUAAUCUUAGUUAUAAUUUAUUAGUUUAUUUAGAUGAAUUUUGAUACUUUGUUAUGUAUUUUCAAUGUAGAACAUUCGACUUCUUCUGGAGCAAAAAGUGAUCAAAUAGAUAAAUUUUGGAGUGAUUCCAACUGAAGGAUGUUCGUGAGCCUUUCAAGAUAAUUGUAUCAAAGUUUCAUAUUUUUUUACCAAACCGUUUUACCGUGAUGAUGAAAUAAAGACCCAGCACGAAACGUUUAUGUACGUUUUGGGUAUUUUAAAGGUCAAUAUGACAUAUUUUGAGGAAGAUUCCUUCUGAGGAUUUGUCAGGGACGGCUCAAGCUUUAAAAAGAGAUAUUUUGGGACCAAAUCAGAGUUGAUUUGGUCGGUCAAAAGUCUAAUUUUCUGAGAAGUCCGAAUUUCAGUUUAAAUAGGAAACAUUUUAUUUCCUAGUUAUCUUAUUCUAUUAUAUUUCCCAGUUUUUGGAAGACAUUUUCUAAGUAGGAUUUUAUUUUGUAAUAGUAUAAAUAAGGCUAUUUAGCCAUUAGGAGGGGAUCAAUUUGGAGAGACGCAUUAACUUAGGAGCUUUUGCCAAUUCAAGUUUAUUUUCAAGGUGUUUUCUAUCUAUGUUCUUAAUAAUAUUUUGUUUUAUGAUUAUUCGUAACUAGUUUCGUUUGCUAGGGCGAGGUCACGAGCCUUAGCAAGAAUAUGUAGUUUCUUUUCAAUUUACUUAUGAUGUUAUGCAUGCAGGUUUUGAAUUAUUAAUCACCGUGUUUAUACUAUCUAAUUGUCCUGAUGAUUGGCCACCAUUUGGAUAUUUAGAAAUAUAAUUUGAUGCAAUUUUGACAG
rnacentral:lncRNA from 1 species